UAUCAUGAUGUGCAGCUCUGUUAUAAC
rnacentral:piRNA from 1 species